GUUAGUUACGUAGAGGAAUGUAUUUUCAAAAAUACGAUACCAAAGGAUGAGGUCGAAACCAUACGGCAACACAUCUCGUGCAUACUGCGAGCAAGUAAACCACCAAAAAGAUUGAUGUCAAUACCUAUAAAAAAGUCGUUAAAGAUCCCACAAACAAGAGAGCCCAACGUAUUUGUGAAGCUGCCCACCUCGAGGAGGAACUACAGCAUGAAAAACAGGUGCUACACUGAAACAAGCUGCAUAUCCUCCGGCUGCAUCACAGAAACAAAAACAAGGCACAAACAGUUCCCCACCAGCCAGCCUACCUGCCAUAUGUAAAGCCAAAUAAGAGUGGAACAUCCUGAUUCACCACAUGCGCAGUUGGAGCCGGACGACAGGAAGAAGGAUCACCGCGUUGUCUGCCACUUGGUCUACGCGCGCUUCUCUAUACAUCAACCGCACUUGCAAACGUGCCCGCAGAUAAUACGUACAAUUAUUAUAUGUAUAGGCUAUUUUAAGCUUAAACAAGAUAAAGAAACAGAUUUCCAUACUUGAAAGUGAAAUUAAUGUGAUUAAUUCACUAACAGUUUUGAUGAAUUUAGAUUUAUAUCAUAAAAACCUUUUCAUUCCAUAGUUUGUUCGUGAACCUUUUUUGUAACGAGUUGGUCGA